CCCCCUGGGCAGUUCUAGGCAAAUUGAAAUAAUGCAAUUGGUUCCUAUAAAGUGGAGGAAGGGACAGAAUGUAACGUGGAAAAAAGACUACAAAAAGUCCUGAACUUCUUGUCCAAGGUACUCCAGACUUUGACUUCACUUCAAGCUGGGACUUUGGCUCUUGUACUGCUUCUUGGAGGACUACUCCUGGAUCUUCUCCUUUGGACUUCAGUGUUGGAGGAUUUUGCCUUGGGAGACUAUAUUCUUCUGAUUAAAGGUUUUCAAAAGAAUAACCAUACAUGCAGCAGCAGUGGCAGCCACCGAAGUGACAGCAUCAGAUCAGGUCAAGAUGGUAACAUAAGAAACCCCCAGAGCCUGCCAACCACACUCCAAAGGACCAGAGAAGGACAAAAAUGCCUCAAAAUUUAUAUGGGGUGGAAGUACCAACAGAAGAAGGGGUGAAAUAGUGCUUGACCCAAAACAAUGUCACUGAGAGAAAGCAAAGAGAAUUCAUCUCAAUGGGGUAAAAGGAAGGAGCACCAAACAAGCAACAGCAGAACUGCAACAUAGGGUAAGCUGCAGGAGAAAGAGAAUAGCUAGCUUGGUCCAAUCUCAUCAGGGUAAGAGCAGAAACCAAUUAAAUACAGAAUAAGCAGCAGUGGGAGAAAUGUGGCCAUGCAUAAUCCAGCCAGGGACAGAGGCCAGACAUGACUUAGCACAGGCAGUGGUAGGAGGAACUCUGUCCAACAAGGUCUAGCCUUCAUAGGAUUGGGCAGAACUCAACUCCAAUCAGUUGAAUCAAAAAAAAAACUGAAAACCUCCAAACAGCAGGCCAACCAAAUUACCUCUGCAGAGUGUUCAAUCUGAGAUCCAGUGAGCUGAGCCAAACCCAGGCACAGUACAAGUGCCAGCUAAUACUACCUCUACUGCAGGAAGUUUUAGCAUAUUGAAAAAAUGAAGGGGAAACAUAAUUCCAAAGUGAGCAAGAGACGGAGGAAAGGCCUAUUACUAUAGAAAUAUUUCAAUAAUAGAGAUGACUAAAAUAUGAGUUCAGCAAUAUGAAAAUGAAAAUGUGGGGGGCAGCUGGGUGGCUCAGUGGAUUGAAAGCCAGGCCUAGAGAUGGGAGGUCCUAGGUUCAAAUCUGGUUUCAGACACUUCUUGGUUGUUUGACCUUGGGCAAGUCACUUAACCCUCAUUACCUAGCCCUUACCACUCUUCUGCCUUAGAACCAAUAAAUAGUAUUGAUUCUAAAAUGGAAGGUAAGAG
rnacentral:lncRNA from 1 species